GUUCGCGCGUGUGUGUGUGGAGUGAGUAUGAUACUGGCUGUUUGUGUUUUUGAAUAUCUGUGUUUUGUGAGUGAGUGAGUGAGUGAGUGAGUGAGUGAGUGAGUGAGUGAGUGAGAAUUAGGUCAUUUUAAAAAUCUACACCGUGAUCUUAUUUGAUCUGGUCCGUGUUGCCCCGCUCGGAUACAGAGAUGAUAAUAACCGACUCGGGAGCUUGAUGUAGCGAUGAUCGUGAGGCUUUUCACUAAACUCGGGGCAUUCACAGUUGAAACUGUGGUAAGAAGUGAUGACUCUAUCAGAUAUACUAGAACAGGCAGGGUGCUGGAUCUCGGUCCAGUAUGCUCUGCUUGUUCACUGAGUAUAACUGCGAUUCUGAUCUCA
rnacentral:snoRNA from 1 species